rnacentral:rRNA from 1 species
UGGGGAAUUUUGCACAAUGGGGGAAACCCUGAUGCAGCGACGCCGCGUGAGCGAUGAAGGUUUUCGAAUCGUACAGCUCUGUCCUAUGGGAAGAUAAUGACGGUACCAUAGGAGGAAGCCCCGGCUAACUACGUGCCAGCAGCCGCGGUAAUACGUAGGGGGCGAGCGUUGUCCGGAAUUACUGGGCGUAAAGGGUUCGCAGGCGGCAUGGCAAGUCCGAUGUAAAAGGCGAAGGCUCAACCUUCGUAAGCAUCGGAAACUGUCAAGCUUGAGUGAAGGAGAGGCAAGUGGAAUUCCUAGUGUAGCGGUGGAAUGCGUAGAUAUUAGGAGGAAUACCGGUGGCGAAGGCGACUUGCGGGACUUCAACUGACGCUGAGGAAAGAAAGCGUGGGUAGCAAACAGG